GUCACAACACCAUCAACAACAACACCUACAUCAACAAAUGCACCAGUGGUCUUCUAUAUAGCAGUUGAAUUGCACAUCUCAGCAACCAAUGUGCCCCCAAAUAUCACUGUUGUACUCAGAGACGUUAUGAAAAAUGUCAUCUCUCCUCAAAUUGAGUUUUUAACAGUAAAAGACUUGAACUUCACCACAUGGUGCUCUCCAGUCUCUACGGGAGUGCAGCAGUGUCAGUGUGAGGACCAGUUUGCUUGGUCAUGUGACAAGUGUGUCGACUAUGGUGCAUGCAGUAAUGUCACCUCAAAAACCUGUGGGUGCAUCAACGGGCUUCCUCCUGGUGGAGAAAUUUGUGAACCAAUCUCAACUUUCAAUCCAUGUAUAACACCAAAUACAACUACAUUACCAUCAGUGACAACUACAACAAUGCCAACACCAACAACAACAACAAAAAUGCCAAA